CCUCGCUAAAAGGAACCUAAUGGAUCGUACACCGUGUAAGGUAGAGAUUGAAGAAACAACAGAGAUGAAUAAGGAUAAUUAAAUGGUUUAAUUAUUUAUGGCUAAGAUUAAUUAAUCAAACGAAUAAGUUCAUUUUAGCUUUUGAUUAAUUAUUAGACCUCAAGGCCCAUCGGGCUUAAAACCAUCAAGCCCAUUAACUUAAGUUGUAUGACAACUUAAUGAGUAAAGACUCAAAAGUGCCCAAACAACAUAAAGCCUUUAGAAGGCUGGUCAUAUUAUGAAUGAAAGGGUUUUGGUUCUUUUUGUCACUUAAGUGAAGUGACUAUAUAAAGGACUUUAUAGCCAAAAUUCAUUAGGGUCCUCUCUUGAGGAAAUUGGAGAGAACAAAAGCUCUCCUUUUCUUUCUAGGAGGUUGGCCCCCUUGGAGGGGAUUUACUAGUAUCAAUCCUCCACCAAGCUCACUCAUCUCUUCUUCAAGUCCUUCCUUGGUGUGGAAACUUAGAGGUUCCCUUUCUUGGAGAAUCCAUUCAUCCAUCUUCCUCCAAGAAAUCCAUGGAGCUAAGAAAGGAAUGAAGGCCCUCUCUCUUGGGUAAUUAGCCUUUGCUUAUGCAAAGAGGAAUCAACAAAGGUAUAAUAUUUCUUAACUCACUUUGUUCUUGAGUUGAGUCUUGGAUCACCAUAAUUAUUAGGCCUUGAAUUUCAUGGGUAAAGUUUUGUUUUUGAGUGCAUACAAGCAUGAUUCCACCUUUUAAUUGUUAAUUGCAUGCAUAGAUGUUGCUCAAAUGAACUAGUUUUCACAAAUAUUUCCUUCAUUGAGGUGAUUUUGGUGUUAGACUUGCUUUGGUUCUAAAUGUUGGAAAUGUGCCCUAAAACCAAUCAUAUGAUGAUACUUUACGGACAUUUCACAUGUUAAACUAAUCUAGUUUAACUAUAAAGGGCAAAGAUUAUUGUUUGAGCCGUCUCAUAUAAAUGUUAUAUGCUUAAACGAUAAAGUCCAAGGAAUAUGUGAUUGGGAGAAUACGAUCUAAAGAAGUUAGAUUCAUGAGACCAUUCUUUCGUAGACACAUCCUAAAUGUUCCUGAUCAUAGGAUUGCCAAUUGGGCAUUGACAGUCCGUUAAGAUCAGUACGUACUGUGUCUUCUCUCAAGGAGAGUGACUAGUCUCGAGUCAUUGGUGUGUGUGACAUCAAGUCAAGUACGUAGGUGCUCAAUAGAGAAUGAGUUCACUGAACACGAUCAACGAAGAGUUCUCAUAUUCAUGUCACAUGAGAACUCAUGGUUGGGAUAAUGCAAAGUAGUCCUUUGACCUGAGGCAUCACAGUUGUCUUGUGGUUAAGUCCUUGAUCUUUGAUUAUGUCAAAGUCACCCCAUCGGGGAGUCCACGGCAUCAUUGGGGUUAAGCCACUUAGUCAUGGAGACAAGUGAAUGCGCAACAAGGGAUCUCUAACCUUCAAACCGUUUGAGGGAGAAUACUCUAUGAUAUGAUUUAGAACCUCUGGCCAGAGUAUGAAUGAGAUUUAGGAAAGCGUUCCAAAUCACAUUCAAGGUAAUUAUAUAAGCACACGAAUCACAUUGGAUAGUAGACAUGAAUAAAUAAACUAUCAAACCAAACAAUGUGGUCAAGAGUAUUGUAUUAGAGAAAGACCGUAUUGCAUUUGUAAUCCUAAACUGAAUAGGUUCUCCACCUCUUCUGAUUAGCUUGGGUAACCAUGAUAUGCUGCUAGGUGUCACUCAUGGUUUGUGGAAGCCCUAAACGUGUGUAAUCACUAAAGGGAGAAUUGAAAGUAAGUUUCAAUUCACAAUCGAUGUAAAAUGGUUUUAAUCGCCCACUGCCUCGCUAAAAUGAACCUAAUGGAUCGUACACCGUGUAAGGUGGAGAUUGAAGAAACAAUGGAGAUGAGUAAGAAUAAUUAAAUGGUUUAAUUAUUUAUGGCAAGGAUUAAUUAAUAUGUUAAUUAAUCAAACGAAUAAGUUCGUUAAAGACCUCGGGAUAGUUUUGGGCCUCAAGGCCCAAUGGGAUUCGAACGUCAAGUCCAUUGACUUAAGUUGUAUGACAACUUAAUUCACAAAGGCCCAAAAGCCCAAACAAAACCCCAUGGCCGGCCAUUUAGAGGAAGGGUAGUGAACUUGCUUUAAUUACAAGUUUGCCACUCAAAUGAAUAAAGGUAUAAAUAUGACUUUAUAGCCAAAAUUCAUUAGGGUUUGUUUUGGAGAAAAUUGGAGAGAACAUGUCUCUCCAUUUCUCUCUAAAGAGGCCGGCCCCUUGGAGGGUGUAUCUAGCCAUACUACUACUCCAAGGUCACUCAUUUUCUUCUCCAAUCUCUCCUUGGUGUGGAGACUUAGAGGUUCUCAAUUUUGGGAACUUAGAGAAACCUUUUCAUCCAUCCAAAUCCAUAGAUUUUAGAUGCAAGGAAUGAAGGCCCUCUCUUUGGGUGAUUAGCCUUUGCUUAUGCAAAGAGGAAUCUACAAAGGUACAAUUUCAACUCACUUUGUUUUGAGUUGAGUUUUGGUUCACCAAUCUACUAGGCUUUGAAUUUCUUGGUUAAGGUUUUGUUUUUAAGUGCAUGCAAGCAUGAUUCCGCCUUUAAUUGUUAAUUGCAUGCUUAUAGAUGUUGCUUAAAUGAACAUGUUUUCACAAAAUAAUCCUUUACUAAAUCUGUAAUCUAAACCAAGUGUCAUUUCUCUUAUUCCUUUUGUGUCUCCCCAAAAGAAAAUAUCAAAAAAGGGGGAGUAUAGGAACAUCAAAAACAACAAAGGAGGGUUUACUUCAAGAAAUAUUAUCAUUGAUCAAGAGAAAAUCUCUUCAAAAGUAUCCUUUCAUGCAAUGUCAUGGGGUGUUUCAAUGUCUUAAAUUCCCUUUGUUGGGUCAUACAUCAAUCUUUUCAUAGUUUAGAAUGGUGGUUCAUAAAUUUUACACCUUCUCUCACAUGACAUUGGCAUCUCUCAAUUGAUGUCUCACUCAAAGUCUCACAAUAUGUGCUCCCUUCAUUCAAGGCUUUUGCCUUAUUUUACACGCCAUGUCCUUUGUUUAUAUUACGUAGGAAGUGUUGCCUCUUAAGGUCAAUGAAUUUUUAAAAGCUUGGUUAAAAUUGGCAUGACCUUUCUUGGUUAAGUGCUUGGAUCUAUGAUUUUAAGAUGGCUAUCACAAAUCCUUUCUCCCAUGCUUUGACACAUCAUUGCAGGAUUAUAAGCUUGUGUUAAUCUCAUUAUUAAUGUUUGUGUAUGCCCUUGAAGAUUUGUCCAUUGAGAACUGCAUUGCAUGUCUACUUUUCGUGUUCUUCAAAUUGCAUAUCUCUUGGAAGCAUAGAUAUUCAAACUACAUUUUAGUCCAUUAUCUUCUGGUUGUUAUGUUGUUGGUUAUCUAUUAGUGCAAAUCUCUAAUUAUAUGUGGUCAUCUUGUUCAAGAGUUUGUUCAUAUUGCAAGCAUCAUUUAUGGGGGAGUUUUCAUUAUGGGAGAGUUAAAUCUCAACCCAUGCAUCUUUUUGUGCUUCUUAUUUCUAGUCUAAUUGUUUCAACACUUUGCUUGGGCUUAUCCAUAUGAUCUUAUUGCAAUUUCUUUAUCCGUUGUGCUCUUGUUGUUUGUGUCUUGUGUAUUUGCAGCAAAUUUGACUACUUUGUGCAUUUUUUUCCAACAUGUCUUUGUCUUAACAUGACAAAAUGGGGGAGACAAAUAAAAAUUUCAUUGUGUUUCAUACCUUGCAAGCCUUUUCUAACCCAUGAUAAUUUUCACUUGUUCUUGGCAAGAGUAGUUCAUGUGCAUGAUUCAUUCCUUGGCUCUUCUCUUGAGCGUGGGUGAGUGAAAUUAGUUCUAGGUUUGGAGUAUUUUGUCAAGGAAAAUCAAAGGGGGAGAUUGUAAAGUCUAGUCUUAAGUGUUUGGUUUCCCUUGUCAAAUAUUGUAUUUGUGUACCAGAUGCUCAAUUUAGUUUUAGACUACAUUAUCUAAUUAUGGGAUGCUGCUACUGGGAUUAAACGUUCAAGGAUGUGGCUCACCUCACUUCAAAAGGUUUGUUCAUGCAUGUGCAUUUCAUAUCUAUAUUUGUGUUACAUCCUGUCUAGUUUGAUUGUCUAAUCAGUUUUACGCACUAACUUCGAGCUGUUUAGGCACAUAAAUUAAGACAACCUACAUAGGGUGAUUGACACCUUUCUGCUGGUUGUCAAUUUAUAGCCAUUGAUCUGCCUAGAUCUCUUUUGCAACUCACAAGUGUCCUUGGGACAAGUUGGCUAAUAGAAAAUCUUAUUUCCUUGGGUAUAUUUGUUCUCUAGAGUUUCAGUUUGAACUUGGGGGUUUAAAAUUUAUUUUUAGAAAGAUAGAGUUGCCUUAAAGGCCUUGGGUUUGCAUCUUCUCCAUUUAUGAACCCUUGCCAAAUCUUUUUCAUGCAUUAAACACCUAAUCAUUGUGCAUUAGGGUUGCAUUGUUUUAAGGUUUUGCAUUAAAGUCUUGGUCUGGCUUUAAGCUUUAAAUCCGAUUUUUAGACCAAGUUUUAGGUUUCAAGUUAGAUUCUUCCUUCAACUGUUUGACUGGAGAAUCUGACUGAUCAUUUGAAUCCAAAUUUUAUAUGCAUAUCAUAAAAUCAUAUCAUAUCAUUGAUCGUGUUGAUCUCGGUGCCAAAAGGUGAUGACCUCAAGAGGAGUUGCCACUUCGUGAAGACCGAAGAAAUCCAUCUCAUGUAAGCAAGGUUGCACAAAGGUAAAGCUGCUUCCUAGAUAGAGAGCUAGGAAAUGAGCUUAUGUGAUCUUUGUAUGAACCUUUGUUUACACUAGUGGAUUGGACUCAAUGGAGAGUCCCCGUCUUUUUAACCGAGAGGUAGGUUUUUCCGGCCAAAUAUAUCUUGUGUUCAAGUUAUUUUUAUUGUGUCACAUAUCUCACAUACACAUACAUGAUACAUGUAUUUUGUUGAACAUUUAAAUGGUAUGUGCUCACAGUCAUGCUCACUUAACACAUUAAUAACUUGCAACAAAUAAUAGCCUUGCUGACUAGGAUAGUUUUUGGGAAUUGAAAUUAGUAUUUGAAUGUUCGAUUUAUUGACUAACAAAUCUUAGUUGACUAGCAGGCUUGACUAGUCAGUCUAGCGGAUUAUAAAUUCUAUAUACAUGAUAUUCCACCUGGUACCAAUUGUGACAUCCCACAUCGUCCAUGGGAGUGAUCCUUAAAUGUAUAUUCCCAUCCCUACCUAGCGACGAGGCCUUUUGGGAGCUCACUGGCUUCAGGUUCCGUCGGAACUCUGAAGUUAAGCGAGAAGGAGGCCAGAGCAUUCCCAGGAUGGGUGACCCACUGGGAAGUUGCUCGUGAGUUCCCAAAAACAAAACUGUGAAGGAAUAGUAAGCCCAAAGAGGACAAUAUCGUGCUACGGUAGUGGAACGGGCCCGGGAUGUGGUGAACCCGGGCUGGGAUGUGACAAUUUGGUAUCAGAGCCAAUCCUUGGCCGGAAGUGUGUCGACGAGAACGUUGGGCCCCUAAGGGGGGUGGAUUGUGACAUCCCACAUCCCCUAGGGGAGUGAUCCUUAAAUGUAUAUUCCCACUACAUAGCGACGAGGCCUUUUGGGAGCUCACUGGCUUCGGAUUCCGUCGGAACUCUGAAGUUAAGCGAGAAGGAGGCCAGAGCACUCCCACGAUGGGUGACCCACUAGGAAGUUGCUCGUGAGCUCCCAAAAACAAAACCGUGAGGGAAUGGUAAGCCCAAAACGGACAAUAUCGUGCUACGGUAGUGGAACAGGCUCAGGAUGUGGUGAACACGGGCUGGGAUGUGAUCGCCCAGGGGAGCGAUCCUUAAAUGUAUAUUCUCAUCCCUACCUAGCGACGAGGCAUUUUGGGAGCUCACUGGCUUCGAGUUCCGUCGGAACUCUGAAGUUAAGCGAGAAGGAGGCCAGAGCACUCCCAGGAUGGGUGACCCACUGGGAAGUUGCUCGUGAGUUCCCAAAAACAAAACCGUGAGGGAAUGGUAAGCCCAAAGCUGACAAUAUCGUGCUACGGUGGUGGAACGGGCCCGGGAUGUGGUGAACACGGGCUGGGAUGUGACACCAAUUUCAUAAAAGAACAAGGUAAUUGUAGUAUAGUCAGCUCUAAUAAGGUCAUUCUCCAUAGGAAUUAUUUAAAAAAAAUUAUUGUUAAAACCAAUUCUUUAUUAAUUAUUUAAAACAAAGUUUAGAAAGGUUGAUUUUGGAAUUCAAAAUAAUAAACACGAAUUUUAAUUAAAACAAUUUAAAAGAUUCAGCAAAAGGAAAAUAACUAAAAGGAAACGGUUUUGAAAAUCAUUAUAAAAGCACUAGAGUUCUGCCAUCACCUUAACAAUUUCAUGCAAUUUAACCAAUUACUUAUGAAUCACACAUGCGUCUUUGAAGGUUAGAUUUUCCUUAUGCAUAUUCUCGUCGUGAUAAUCAAGCAAGAACGUAUAUAUAACAUGCAUUCCGUCAAGACUCAUUAAACUUUGUGAAAAUCUUUUGAAAAACCAUGCAAUCCCUAAGAGUGUGAUAUACGCCUUAAGUGAAUUACAAUUAUCAAUCACAACAAACCCUACUCAAUCCUCCGGUGAUAUUCUGACUGAAUUGCAUUUGAUUACUUAUCUAUCAUCCUAUAUAGAGACAAUUUAAACACAAUGAUUAAUAAUUCAAAGUAUGCAUGCAUAAUAUCAUAAGCAAUUAAAUACUGACUACAUAUUCAUGCUAAGACUCUUGGCCUCGCCUUAGACAAAGAAAGUUACUUACGUGUAUUCAUAAUUAAGAUCAAAGGAAAUUUUAUUGAAUAGAAAAAGAGUGAAAACACCUUAUAGAAUAAAGUCUUCAAUUUGCCAGAGCCUUCGACAAUCUUCUCAAAGUUGUGUAGAGAAUUCUAUAAGCCAGUACCUUUAUUAUAUACUACUACAAGACAAAAUCCAUCCUAGAAAUGGUCUUCUAAAAACUAAGAAACAAAAUAAGCUAAGAGAAACUAGAAAACAAUUCCUAGUCAAACAUGGAUAAACUGCAAGUAAACUCAUCUGCCACGUUUUAGACCGUAGAAACCUCCAAAAACAGGCUCAAAAUGACUCUUUUUAAACUUUGAGAUGUCCUGUACAUAUUUUUAGAAGAACCCAUUGCCAAAAGACACCAUCUUGGAAGCCAAAAAGCCUAAGUAAGCCAAAAACGUUACUUUGACAACUUCGCUUGCUAGUCUUUUAUUUCAUCCACCGUAAAAUAACCACUUAGCUUCGCAUCCUGGGCUCGACUCCGUCAUAGCACGAUAUUGUCUGCUUCGCAUCCUGGGCUCGACUCCGUCAUAGCACGAUAUUGUCUGCUUUAGGAACUCACACGAGAACUUCCCAGUGGGUCACACAUCCUAGGAUCGCUCUCACACGAACUCGCUUAACUUUAGAGUUUCGAUGGAACCCGAAGCCAGUGAACUCCCAAAAAGCCUCACGCUAGGUAGAGAUGGGAAUAUACAUAUAAGGCUUAUAGGAUCCACUCCCCAGAGCAAUGUGGGAUGUAACAAUCCACCCCCUUUAGGGGCCCGACGUCCUCAUUGGCACACUUCCGGCCAGUGAUUAGCUCUGAUACCAAAUUGUCACAUCCCGGCCCGGGCCCCCACCACAUCCUGGGCUCGACUCCGCCGUAGCACGAUAUUGUCUGCUUUAAGCCCAGACCACGCCCUCAUGGUUUUGUUUCUAGGAACUCACACGAGAACUUCCUAGUGGGUCACCCAUCAUAGGAUUGCUCUCGCGCAAACUCGCUUAACUUCGGAGUUUUGAUGGAACUUGAAGCCAAUGAGAAAAAUAAGGGAGUCAGGGAGUAGAAGAAUCAGGGAGGAAAGGGAAGGCUACUGCCCAACCGGAGGAGAGGAAACGAGAUGUGGUUUGCCCAAUCAGGAGAAAAAGAAGAAGGAACUGUCCAAUUAGGAGAGGAGAAAGGAAAUCCACCGCAUGCAUACAGCUCGAUGACCUUCCAGCUUGUAUCUCCACCCAAAUUUGAUAGGUUUUUGUUCUCGUAUCACCAAGAUCGAGCUCGUUGAGUUUCUGGUGUACACGGCAGCAAUUCGCCAUUUUUGAAGCCAUCAUUGUCGAUUACCACUACCAUUAGUCUUCCCUUGGACCCAGGAUCAAGACCCAACUAGUGGUUGGGGCGGCGGAGCUUCGGAAUCAACGAAUCGAAGCACACCCUUUAUAGGGUUUCCGACGGGUUUGAGACGAAUUGGAUCACUUCCUGGCUGAAUUGGACCUCGGCCCAGGUAUAAAAAUUGUUCCUCACGUGGGCUGAGGCCCCACCUACCAUUCCUAGACUGAUUUGUUUACACUAAUUUCAUAUGUGAGGUUUGAUUGACAAAAUCUCGUUGUAAGACUGUAGUUUUGAUAGAGACCGCCACUUGGAUAUUAAAUGAAUCGACGAUUCAACUGUUGGAUCGUGACCAAAAUUUAAUGCUUUGUAACGUAAUAUUUGAAGACCAAGGAAACUUACGGAUGGGGAAUCCGACAUGGGGAUUUUCUCGAAUUGGGUUUGUAAGCUAGUAAAAUAAAACGUCGGCCGCCACUUAAUUCUAGCAAUUGGUAGAGAUCCGACCGUUGGAUCGUAAUGAAAUUUUAGUAUGAUGUUCUAGAAGCAUAAUGUGGAUCUUUGGAAGCUAUGGAUCAGAAAUCCGAGGUACGGAUCUUCUAGAUUGAGUUACGUAGCAUUGUGGAUCCUACCGUUGUGAUCUUUGACCGACGGUUGACUUUUGGUCAAUGGGUUUCAAAUCAUUCUAGAAUGUCCUUAGGGAUGUAUUUUGUAAGUUGCAUGUUCUAUUGAUAGGAAUUAUGAGACGUUAUUUGAUAAUUGGUCUAGACGACGAUGGUUCGUGACGCCUCGAUAUUCGAGCUAGAGAAUUGUAGCGCAGACUUCAGGUGAGUGGGUCUUUUCCUUUUUAUCGUAUAUAUAUAAUUGAUAGUUCCACAAACGUUUUAAAUUGAUUUAUGCAUUUUAUGCCAUGUCAUAUAUAUAUAUAUAUAUAUAUAUAUUCUAAAAUACUAUGAUAUGGUUGAGUUUUAGAUUGCAUCAUGGCAUAACCAUAUGCAUAUUACCUACAUUGUUGUUAAUGCCUUGAAGUGCUAAGGUGAACGCGGGACAUACAUGUAAGUACAGGUGAGUUUAUGGUGUUAUUUGAAAUGAUUGAGUUAUGGCAUGACUAUAUUAGUGUUUUAUGCAACUCCGACACUGUCGUACAGAUUGCAAUAUUAGGUAACUCCGACAUUGUCCUAUAGGUUGCAAUAGGCAACUCCGACACUGUCGUACAAUUUGCAUUAGGCAACUUCGACUCAUGUGUUAUCAUAGAUUGAUUUAUGAGUCAUACAGGUUGGAUUAGACAACUUCGACUCAUGUGCUAUCAUAGAUUGAUUUCUGAGUCGUACAAGUUGCGUUAGGCAACUCCGACUCGUGGGUUAUCAUAGAUUGAUGAGCACCUGAUUUUAUUAUGUUGUUGCCGAUAUGUACUGAUUUGGAAUAUUUCUGGAUUUACUGUUGAUUUACAUUUGAUUUCAUACUUAUACGUAGUAUGAUUUCCUGGAAACUAUACAGGUAUUACAGCGAAGGGUUAUAUCGUUUAGAAGGUCUUUAUUAAAGCUUUAUUUUCAGGCCUUCUCACUCUCGUUUUUUUUUUCCUCCAAGUUCUAGUAGCAUAGUUUUUGUAUCGACGAGGAUUCGUGGCAAGUCUUGGUAUUGGAGAUUACCUUCAAUGGUAUGAUUUUCAAUCCACUAUACUAUACUUUACUUAUGCUUUGACGUCACGUGUGAAAUGGGUUCAUUCCCUGUCACAACGCACUCUCGUAUUUAGGCACUUUUAGGUUUAAAUGUAUUCACAUAUUCCACAUCACUACACUUUAUGGCUUCGUCACCUUCCAGGUGUCGGCCAGCACAACCCGAUUCGGAGUCCUAGUGGACAAUUCGGGUCAGGAUGUGUCAAAGACUCACGAACAUCAUUCAAUAGUAAUCACUCCCAGAUUCAUUUGUUUGAUCACGUUUUGUCCAAGAAGAAGUCACAAGUUCUACAUUGGAAAUAUAAAUCAAAGUAUCAAAAUAUCACCAAAAUAAUUACCAAAAUAUACUGAGAAUAAGAUAAAGUAUAUAAUAUAAAAUAGACUCAUCAGGAGGCUGCCCUGUCUCAGGGCCAAUACAUAACACAAGCUUCUUUGAGGACUUACAACACGGCUCUUAGCUCUUUUUUUUAUUUUUUAUAUUUUAUAGAUCGCCCACCAAGAGGGAUUGCAUGCGCGAGACUCGAACUUACGCUGUGAUAUAGCAAAGAAAACGAUCAUUACCGACUCAACUAACCCACAUUGGCAGUUGCAUUAAAGGAGAAAACUUUUAAGUCAAAACUCAACUUUUUUUUUUUUGUCAAACGAUAGAUUUUGUUAGAUUGGUGUUACAUUAGCUAUUGAUGGGGUUUGAACCCAUACUGUCAUGCAAUGGCUCAACACAUUUCCACCACUUGCAAGUAAGUCAACUUUGAAUUUUAAUAAUUUGUGUAUGUGCAUUGAAGAUAAUUCGACUCGAAAUUACAAUGUUAUUUUCCUUGUUGGAAUGAUACCAUUGUAGGUCUCAAAAGUGGACUCUCCAUGGGCUCUCAGACACAUCAUGUUUUUGACAUAAUAUUUUAUAAUAUUAGUACAUUAUUGACGUUAGGCGACAAAAAGUUCAUAAAAAAUACUACUUUUGAGAAAAUUCCUUUAAAAACAUUUCUCGUAUAGCAUUAUCACAUGACGUGUGGGUAAUCAAUGCCUUAUAAAUAUGUUGGGUGCUUCCAAAACCCUCCAUAGUUAAACAAAGAGUCCAAGACGCAUAAAUCCUUGAAAGUAUGAUCUAGGAGUGGGUUUGAAAAACCGAAAAGGCCUAUUAACUAUACAACCCUACGACUUACUCUUUCUCCCUCCUACUACCAAUAGUCAAAUGACUCUCUCUCUCUCUCUCUCUCUCUCUCUCCCUCCCUCCCUCCCUCCCUCCCUAGAGCAAUGAGCACAGUGACUUUUUAUUUAGGCCUUGUAUAUGAGGUUGCUUUCAUGGGUCCGGCUUGAUGUGUGUGCCGUUACAUUUCUCCCCGCCAACGAAACGAAACAACACACCGAAAGCACAAAACAAAAAAGAAACAGUAGAAAGAAAGAAAAGAUUUUCCCAAAAUCCAAUAUAUUUAUACAAAAAAGAACAAGCGUGAAACCCACUCUGCUCUAUUUUCACUGUGUCUGCUGCUGCACCACUACACCACUACACCACAACCCAAAGCAAAAAAUACAGAGAUAGAGGGAGAGGGAGGGAGAGAGAGAGAGAGAGAGAGAGAGAGAGAGAGAGAUGGGUGUGAGAUUGAUGGGCUUUUCUUUUGUAUAAUGAGCAGAGGAGUAAAACCUCUUCUUCUCGGAAGAAGAUUGCAAUGAAUCACAACCAACACCGAAACCCACAAAGCCAUUCACUUUUGCUGGAUGCUUUGCUCUGUGAGGAGGACAAAUGGGAGGAGCACGACGACGACCAAGGAGAAGUAGUGGAACAAGAAGUGAGUAGUGGUGAGAACUACAACAACGGCGUCAGUGGGAAAAACCCAAACUGCCCUUCUCUGUUUCCCAUGCUCCUGUUGGAACAAGAUCUGUUCUGGGAAGAUGAGGAGCUUGUCUUUGUUUUUUCGAAAGAGGAGCUGCAACAGACGCAUUUCGCCAAACACUUGGAGAGCUUGGGGAAAGAGGAGUCGUUGAUCUCCAUGGCUCGCCGUGAAGCGGUGCUGUGGAUGCUCAAAGUGAAUUCCCAUUACGGGUUCACAGCCCUCACUGCAAUCCUAGCAGUUAACUACUUUGAUCGGUUCAUCUCAAGCCUCCAUUUCCAGGGAGACAAGCCGUGGAUGGUCAAGCUUGUGGCCGUCACUUGCCUCUCUCUGGCUGCCAAAGUGGAAGAAACCCAAGUUCCUCUGCUUUUAGACCUUCAAGUAAAUAAUCAUUUUUUUGUGCUGAAAGAAUCGAUUUUUCUUCUAAAUUUUCGAUUAAUCUCCAAUAUCUGAAACAUGGAUUUCGUUCUUUAUCAGGUGGAGGACACAAAGUACUUUUUCGAGGCGAAAACGAUUCAGAGAAUGGAGAUUCUGGUGCUCUCAACUCUCCAAUGGCGGAUGCAUCCAGUGACCCCACUUUCGUUUGUCGACCACAUCUUAAGGAGGCUCGGAUUGAAAACCCACCUCCAUUGGGUGUUCCUCAAGCGCUGCGAGCGUCUCCUUCUCUCUGUAGUCGCCGGUAAGCAGAAUCCGUAACGCUUUCAUUAACGCAGAAAGCUUUAAAUGUUUUUUCGAUAAGAACAAAGAGAAGAGCUAGAUUUAAUACAUUUUAAGUGUUUUGUCUCGUCAAUUUGUUUACUUUUUCGUAUUGGGUCUCUUUCAGAUUCGAGAUUCGUCGGUUAUUUGCCUUCUGUGUUGGCCACUGCAACAAUGAUGUGCGUUAUAGACCAGGUCGAGCCUUGGAAUGCCAUUGAAUACCAGAACCAGCUUCUUGGUGUUCUCAAAAUAAGCAAGGUUGGUGCUUUUUAUGUUUUUGUUUUUUCCGUUUAGCAAAAUGAUAUUCUAAACUAGUCUAAUCUACGAAAUAAGACAUUCGAACUUGGAUGAUGAGACAAUGCAAUGCCAACGUUAUGUUUUUGUUUCAUUUAAUUUGAUUACUUUGAUCGGUUUCAAUCUUCUUCAAACAGAAGAUCAAUAAAUGCACGUUGUUAAAUUUGUGUAAUCCUGUUUAAUUAUUGCUUAAUUAAGUGCUGCUGCAUUGUGAAACAGGAAAAAGUGAACGACUGUUACAGUCAGAUACUCGACUAUGAUUACGCUUGCAGCAACACCACAACCAUCGCCACCGCCGCCACCGCCGCCACCGACAAACGCAAGCACGAUCAAAUCCCGGGCAGCCCAAGUGGAGUGAUUGAUGCAUAUUUCAGCUACGAUGAAAUCUCAAACGACUCGUGGGCACUGGGAUCAUCGGUUUCUUCGUCCCCAGAAGUACAUUUCAAGAGGGCUAGAAAUGCUGAAGCAGAAGAGAAAGAGAUGAAAUUGGCUUCACUCAAUAGGCUCUUUGUGGGUAUUAUUAGUAGCCCACCUUAAUUAAUCUCAUUAAUUAAUUUGUCUUCCUUUUUAAAAACCCAACAAAAUAAAAAAUAAAAAAAAAAACAUGGUUAUCAUGGCAAUUUCAUUUUGGUGAAAAUCUGAAGUGCUGAGCUGCUGCCGCCGCCGCCUUAGAAAUGUAUUUCUCUGGUUUAAUCAUGGCGCUGUGGGGAUUAUUUACUAUUAUUUGAUGGCAAAUUACAGCAAAAAGGAGGGGCAAGAUUGGGAAUUUAAUUGAGAAUUACUCUUUACAUGAAGUCUGCUUCUUUGUAAAAUUUUAUGGAGCACUCAUAUAUGUUCUUCAUUGUAUCUCUCUUGGAACCAUUUGGACAUAUAAUAUUAAUAAAUAAAUUUAAACACCAAUUUUGUUCGCUUGUGUCAGAAUACUAUUUGUUCACUUCUCAUUAGCUCGAACGAAUGAUGCAGAAAAUUGGUGUCAGAUCUGUCAGGUAUCGAAAUCUCAAUUGAUUAUUUUUUUUUAUAAGCUCUAUUUAUUAUUUGGUCAUUGAAUAUGGGUUUUACUUGAUUGAUGAUAGAUUUCAACUUAUAUUUUAAGUGUAAUUUAAUACUAAGGUUUAGGUGGUAUUCAUCUUCACUUGUAAGUAAGAGGUUUUAGGUUGGAUUUGCGUCAAACACAAAUUUAUAUCAAAUUAUUGUUAGCGUAUUGAUGCUUAAACUACUUUCCCAUCGUUUUAGUGUAGAUAAUAUCGUUUGUUAAAAAAAAAAAAAAAAAAAAAAAAAAAAAAAACUUUUAUAUUAAGUACAUGACCAGAAUUUUCUAGUAUGUUUUGGGACUUUAGUUAUUAGAUUUUUGGUCAAAGUUUCGGUUGUAUUAGAGUAGGACGUGACCAAAACGAUUUUCUUUCAAAUAUCAAUCACUAAAAUGAUUAUUGUUUAAGAUGUUGAUGUUGCCGUCUUCAAUCUUUGAUCCUUAUAUUAUAGAUAUUUAUUCUAUAAGUUCAUAUUCAAUUUUGAUCAACUUAACAAUUGAAAUUUGACUUAUGAUUAAUUUUGUUAUUACUAGUUGGUCUAGUAGCAUUCAACCUUUACUUGGUUGAAAGAGAUUUCAAAAUUGACUCACAUAAAUGUGAUUAGGACAUAUAUUCGUAAUGAGUUUGAUGUUAAUUUGUUCAUAGAAUUUCUUUUUUACACUAAAAAGACCCUCAAACUAUCUAUAAUUGAGACGUUAAAUUUGAAGUAAAAUUGUCACAGCCCGUCCCGGAAAAUUAUUCUCAUGGAUGGGAAAUGUCGAGAAUACCCUUAAACGUUUCAUGAGAUUUAAUAUUAGGGUUUAUUUGGUUGCCCUAGCUUAAUUUUGGAUAAUUUGGGACUUGGACUUUCUGUUUGGUUGUAGAUGUGGGUUUAGGGAUGUGUUAGUGUGAGGACCACACACACACACACCCAAAACUUUUUCUCUCUCACCCUCCCGUACUCUCUCUCUUGGACGCACUCUCUCUCUCUUUUCUUCUCUCUUGUACUGACUACACCCAAAACCCAUCGAAAGUGUAAAGAUCGAGGGUGUGAAGCACACCAUUGUGUUCGUGAGAACCAUACGAGUUGAAUGGUACCAUUUUCAGGUAAGAACUCCUUUGAAAACUCGUGAAAUCUGAACCCCGAUUUGAGGUACUAUUCAUGCUCACGUAAAAUGUUGAUUUUUAGGGAAUUUUAAGGACAUAGGAAGCUUUAGGAGGUCCUAAGGAAGCUCGGAGUGGUUCGUUGGGUGAAAUUGGAUGUUGAGAUCAUGAUUUUCAAGUUUGGCCGGAUUUUGUGGAAUUUCUCCGGCGAGAUUCCGUGACUUUUGAAGCUUCAAAUUGGUGAGACUUAUCCCGAGGACGAGCGCGUUCAAGGGCGACUCGGGGGCUACGACCCUUCGACAUACAAAUGAGUGGGCUUUUGGUUUUCAAUAUAUAUUUAUAUACUUGAUAUUUUCCCAGAAAUAUGUGUUUAAAUGAAAGUAUGCCUUGAAUGCCAUGCAUAUGAAUUUAUAUGUCGUAUAUGAAUUGGUAUAUGAUGCAUAAUAUAUAAUUGUGGUGCUGCGGACGCUUAGGUAAGCUCAUGUAAGUUAUGUUUGAUUAUGUGAAUCAUCAAUGAUGUUAUAUGUGAUUGAAUAACGUUGAGCUCAUAAAAUUGCACCUAGGGUGAUUGUGAUUUAACCAGAAUUAUGGCACAUACCUGUUUAUUAUGUCACCUCCCACACCAUAUGCUCAUAUUGGAUCCAAUUUAGGUGCACAGUCCUGUCGUACAGACCAUCUUAGGUGGUUCCGACUCGUAGGUGACUAGUGAUUUUUCGCCCAGCUAUUGUGUGAGAGUAGUAUUGAGCAUGAUUAUAUUACACCCAUUAUUAUCGUACAGACCUUUUCAUUUGGUUCCGACUCUUGUGCAGUAUAGUGCCAUAUAGGUCAUUGUAGUGAGUCCGGCUAGAUUGACUUUUGAGCUAUGAAUUCAGCCGUACAGACUAUUGAUGCGAUGAAAGUUAAGCACUCAAAUUAAACCCUCUUAUUGUCAAAUUGUAGUAUAAAUGCAAGUAGGGAUCGUUCUAAACCGGGGAUUAGGAGGGCUUGCUAAACCUCUAAACUUACUCAAAAACAUAAAAACAAAGUUAAAAACGUUUGAAUAGACUCAAGGGACUCAAAACAGAUUCUAAAGACUCAAAACAACUUAAAAACACUCAAAACUGCCUAAAAACACAAACUGGGCAGAUUUGACUCUAACACAACUUUGGACGAAUUUAGUGUUUUGACUUAAAUCAAAACACUCUAAAACACAAACAAAACAGAUUUUAAACACUUUGGAACAAGAAAGUAAAAUGGGAGUUUUGAUUUGGAUGAAUUUGAAAUAAACAAGCAAGUUAUAAAACUAGGCAGAUUAUAAAAUGAAUUUGAGAAAUAAAAAGAUGGAGGGAUUAGUUAGAGGUCCGUUCUUCACACAUGACACACUUGUACAUGAAUCGAUUUCCAAUUGCUUUUCAAUAAACUAUGAUACUCAACACCCCAGAUUAAUCGUGAUGCACAAAUUAACCCUCAGAUUUUCCUUUACUCAUUGAAUUGGAUGAAUGCAUGCGACAACUCAAAUCAUUCUCUAAAAGUCCCCUAUAUGAAUGCAUAAUAGAGAUACAAUCAGAGAUCAUUACGUUCAAUGAAAAUCAUAAGUGUUGACGAGGCAAUUAUAACUAUGAAUGCAUGAUACAAUUGCCAAGAAUUCAAUUAACGCGAUUGUGAUAGACAACCUUCACUACUCAUGAAUAUAAACUUGUAACGAUUAAGUGAAACUCAUUUAUAUUCUAGCAUCUAAUUCAUGCAUGAAAAUUAAGUAUGCAUCCUUAAUAAACAUACAAGAAUCAGUUAUGAAUAAAAUAGAUAAUUGAAUUGCAAUCACAACUUAUCAAAUCAUAAUUGGAAGAAAUCAAUUCAAAUCUCAAGCAUGUUCAUGCUUCAAACUUCCCCCUAACUAAAUAGGGGUUUAGCCACUCAUAAUUGCAACAAAAUUAGAAAAUAAAAAGUAGACAUUGAAAGCAAGAACGGAGUAUACCUAAAACGCUCCAAAGUUCCAAGCUUGAAACAUCAAGGACCUUUGUUUUCACCACCUUGUUGUAGCACAAGUGUCUAGGAUGUGUAUGCAUAUAUGGAUGUAAUGGAUUUGCACGACUAAGAGAUGAAAGUGUAUGGAUUGGUGAGAUGUAGUAUGGCUAGAUGAAUGGAUUGUUGGAAAUGUGCCCUAAAACCAAUCAUAUGAUGAUACUUUACGGACAUUUCAAAUGUUAAACUAAUCUAGUUUAACAUAUAAAGGGCAAAGAUUAUUAUUUGAGCCGUCUCAUAUAAAUGUUAUAUGCUUAAACGAUAAAGUCCAAGGAAUAUGUGAUUGGGAGAAUGCAAUCUAAUGAAAUUAGAUUAAUGAGACCAUUCUUUCGUAGACACAUCCUAAAUGUUCCUGAUCAUAGGAUUACCAAUUGGGCAUU
rnacentral:lncRNA from 1 species